GACGAACGCUGGCGGCGUGCUUAACACAUGCAAGUCGAACGAAGAGCGAUGGAAGCUUGCUUCUAUCAAUCUUAGUGGCGCACGGGUGAGUAACGCGUAAUCAACCUGCCCUUCAGAGGGGGACAACAGUUGGAAGCGACUGCUAAUACCGCAUACGAUCUAAUCUCGGCAUCGAGGAUAGAUGAAAGGUGGCCUCUACAUGUAAGCUAUCACUGAAGGAGGGGAUUGCGUCUGAUUAGCUAGUUGGAGGGGUAACGGCCCACCAAGGCGAUGAUCAGUAGCCGGUCUGAGAGGAUGAACGGCCACAUUGGGACUGAGACACGGCCCAGACUCCUACGGGAGGCAGCAGUGGGGAAUCUUCCGCAAUGGACGAAAGUCUGACGGAGCAACGCCGCGUGAGUGAUGACGGCCUUCGGGUUGUAAAGCUCUGUUAAUCGGGACGAAGGGCCUUCUUGCGAAUAGUGAGAAGGAUUGACGGUACCGGAAUAGAAAGCCACGGCUAACUACGUG
rnacentral:rRNA from 1 species